rfam:Salmo salar isolate Sally breed double haploid chromosome ssa22, whole genome shotgun sequence.
ACUCGCUGCUGUUUUCUAUGGCUUUCUAUUCCUAUGUGAUUUUUUCUACUGUCACAUAGGGUCCAAAGCCAUUGGGUACAGAGUGGAAC